CUUGGUGAUUCAUGAUAACUUAACGAAUCGCAUGGCCUUGCGCCGGCGAUGGUUCAUUCAAAUUUCUGCCCUAUCAACUUUCGAUGGUAGGAUAGUGGCCUACCAUGGUAUCAACGGGUAACGGGGAAUUAGGGUUCUAUUCCGGAGAGGGAGCCUGAGAAACGGCUACCACAUCCAAGGAAGGCAGCAGGCGCGCAAAUUACCCAAUCCCGACACGGGGAGGUAGUGACAAUAAAUAACAAUAUAGGGCCCUCUUGGGUCUUAUAAUUGGAAUGGGUACAAUUUAAAUCCCUUAACGAGGAACAAUUGGAGGGCAAGUCUGGUGCCAGCAGCCGCGGUAAUUCCAGCUCCAAUAGCGUAUAUUAAAGUUGUUGCAGUUAAAAAGCUCGUAGUUGAACUUCAGACCUGGCUGGGCGGUCUGCUUAACGGCAUGUACUGUCUGGCUGAGUCUUACCUCUUGGUGAGCCAGUGUGCCCUUUACUGGUGUGCAUUGGGGAACCAGGACUUUUACCUUGAGAAAAUUAGAGUGUUCAAAGCAGGCCUAUGCCCGAAUACAUUAGCAUGGAAUAACUAAAAUAGGGACGGUGCGGUUCUAUUUGUGGGUUUCUAGAGUCGGCCGUAAUGAUUAAUAGGGGAUAGUUGGGGGC
rnacentral:rRNA from 1 species